rnacentral:rRNA from 1 species
UAGGGAAUCUUCGGCAAUGGACGAAAGUCUGACCGAGCAACGCCGCGUGAGUGAAGAAGGUUUUCGGAUCGUAAAACUCUGUUGUUAGAGAAGAACAAGGACGUUAGUAACUGAACGUCCCCUGACGGUAUCUAACCAGAAAGCCACGGCUAACUACGUGCCAGCAGCCGCGGUAAUACGUAGGUGGCAAGCGUUGUCCGGAUUUAUUGGGCGUAAAGCGAGCGCAGGCGGUUUCUUAAGUCUGAUGUGAAAGCCCCCGGCUCAACCGGGGAGGGUCAUUUGAAACUGGGAGAAUUGAGUGCAGAAGAGGGGAGUGGAAGUCCAUGUGUAGCGGUGACAUGCGUAGAUAUAUGGAGGAACACCAGUGGCGAAGGCGGCUCUCUGGUCUGUAACUGACGCUGAGGCUCGAAAGCGUGGGGAGAAAACAGG